AUUGCGAGUUGUUUGUUUGGCGAUAGGGCCAAAGACGCAAUUGAAUGCCAAGAAAUCAUAAUAUUAGCAUCAGUUCAUAGAAACACUUUAUCGAAGAUACAAUGGGUAAAGGUAAAGGUGGAGGAGGAGGCGGAACCAAACCUACUGAUACUAAAAAACCUGCGGCCGGAGGUGGCGCAGCCAAAGGCGAAUCGAAAGGUGGCGCCAAACAAGAGGGCGGAAAAGGCGGAAAGAAAGGUGGAAAGAAAUAGCUAUCCCUAAGAUGAAUGCAUAACAUUUAUAAUUCCAUUUAAGUUAAAAAUUUUGUUUGUUUGUUAAAGUGUAAUAUUCGAAAAUAAAAGUUUUAUAAAUAUAUCUACUUUCCUGCAACUAUAUGACUAGAGUAAGCAUUCAAA